GACGCACGCGCAGCACAGCAAGUCACUUCAAUCAGGCAUCUCAAUGAGAAACACGCGCCAAAUUAUAGCUACUCGAAUCCCUGUUUAGUUUGUUAAAUUUUUAUUUUUUUUAUAUCUUCAUACCUACUCAUCCGCCUCAGACCUUGAAAACGGUAUCGGGCCGUGCUGCUGUCAUCAACGCUGUACCAUUAGACGAUAGUUGCUGUCCAGGAUAGUUCAUCUGACUUCUUAUAAAGACCUGAAAUUGGGCUAUAAAAUAUCAAAAUGCCCAAAAUCCCUGAGAAAGAUGAUUGUAAAGAUACGGCUGGAAAGGUUUUGGGGGCAGGUCGAGCCGGAGAAUUCAUGCAAACCAGAUUCACCAGAAUUCCUGAUGGACAUUUGAAUCCAGAAACUGUAGCUGGUAUUCGAGAUAUGCAUUUAGGCAAAGUUAAAAAUGGAAAACCCGUUGGAGCUCCAACGAUACGUUUCGACACUGGAAUUACUGAGAAAGCCCUAAAAAGAAAGGAUAUUCCCCACAUCAAUAUUGACCCUAAAGGAGUUCCCAAAAAAACCAACCCUCAUAUUGACGUACCCAAAGGAGUAGUGGAUUCUGCCCAAGUCAUUAAUAAGACUAUUAAAUAUGCAGGCAUUACUUUAACAGUGGCCGCCGUAGCGAUGGAUGCCUGGCGGAUUGGGUCCGCUUUGAAAGAUGAUAUUUACACUAGGGACCACGCCUAUGAGAUUAUUAAAGAGCUAGAGGAAGCCAUUAGCGAGUUGAAAAAAUCACUUAAGACUGAAACUAAAUCAUCAAGAAUUAGUGAAAUAAGGACGACGAUAGAAUAUCUUGAGAAACUUGUGAUUGAUGUGAGACGGACUAAGAAGGUUCCAGUGAAAUAUAUCAAGACUGUUUCAUCGGUUGGAGGGAGUUGGGGAGGUGGGGCGUUGGGAGGAACUGCCGGGGCCUGGGGGGGGGCGAAGGCCGGGGCUCUGGUGGGGACUGCUUUCGGACCUGUGGGCACAGUAGUCGGCGCUCCGAUUGGCGCGGUGAUUGGCGCUAUCGGAGGUGGCAUUCUUGUUGGCACAGCUGGAAGUGCUGCUUGCGAAAAGGUUGCUGACGCAGCUCUUAGUCUUGCAGACUAAGAGCGCUUUCACAUUGAGGCGAUUUAGCAGCGCGACUCGAAAAUUUCAUACUACACUCGGCAUCAAAUAAAUCGCACCUCCCGCGACAAGCACUUAUCAAACGUAUGCAUCCCCACUUCCCACCAACAUUAGUACCAUUUGAAAGCCUAGUUCUAAACUUCAUUUCAUUAAAGGAAAGGUUUUUACCCCAAAAAUGUGUCUUUACAAGGAUCCAGAGACACUUCUUCAAAAAAUAGGUAGUUGCGCUAUAGCCAUUUUUUAUUACUAUAAAACUGUUAAGUUGGGAUUAAUCGCUAUCCAUCUGUUAAAGAGGACACGUGAGAUCUUUAUUUGGUUUUAUAACCAUAAAAAUUGGUCUAAUUGAUCCCAGAGGUGAGCCCAAAGCGAGGUCUAUUUUCAAGUCACAUUUAUGGUAUAAAUGUUAAUCAUUUAUUUAGAAAUGAAAUGUAUUUUUCUUUAAGGAUAUUUAUUGGGCUUUCAAAUAACACCAAUAUUGUUGGGGUGCCAUGAUUGUGUCACAAGAAAAUCUUUAAAGUUCGCGUCGCGGAAGGUGCGUUUAUUUGAUGUUGAGUGUAUGUGACAGGGGAUGCCUUCACAUUAUAAAAACGCCGCUGCCGCGCUGCUGUCGCGCUUCUAACGCCCUAAAAUAUUAAAGCGCUCUAAGGGUUACAGACACACUUAUCAACUCUGAAAGGGAUCAACACCGUAUCACCUUUCGCGCGCUGUCAACCGCGAGGCGAGGCGUUUACGCUACUGUGCGGACAGUGUGCGUUGCAGUAUGGAGUUUCAUACAAAGAACAGUACCUCUAGCAUGAACAACUUUCAUCUUCGAAUCGUUUUCGUACUCGAUAAAAUUCGAUACUCAACCUUCGAAUUAAACGAUAACGUGACAAUUUUGAUUCUCAAAAUAAGUUUCGUGCAACCAUUUCUCAUAGUAGGUAAGUUCACUUUACGACACGUUCUCAAGGGUUCUGUUGUAGUUUUCGUACUAAAUCUUUUGAUGGCGAUUCGAGUACGCAAACGAUUUGAACUCGAAAGUUUUUCGUGCUAGCCGUACUGACUGCCUCGAGUUCCCUUCCCUUCCCUUCGAUCCCUUUCCGGGUUGAUAAGUGUGCUACGUCCUUUAACAUAUUCUACUGUAUUCUUUACCGAUUGUUUAUGUUACAAAACAUUGUGCAAGUCGCCUAAUUAUAAUAAUUACAACAUAAUAAUAAUAAUAAGUUCGGUGAUAAUUAUAAAUCCGCCUCCGCCGAGGCUAAGUAAAUAAUGCAAGGAAAUUAAAUACUAAUUAAAUUAGUACUUACAAAUCGUCAAAUGCUCUUAAGGAGUCUAUAUAAUACAUGUCUCAUUCUUUUUUUGCCCUACCAGCGCAGCGCUUAGCAUUGUCGGAGGUUCAAUUAUUUUUAUGAUUUAUAAAAAUAUAUUAGAAAUUCUUCAAACAAAACAGAAUCGAGCCCAACUAUCGGUCAAAUAAAAAUCGCUCUUAGUCUUAACCUCUUAGGCAACAAAAAUUACAAAAAUAAAUAAACCUUGAUUUUAUCGCUUAAACAUUUUGUAAACGAUACCUAAGUAUGAAAGCUUCGAAAAAAAUGUUUAAAAAUACUAGGUAAAAUAGUUUUUAAGCCGUAAUUACUAACACAAGGAUGUCAAAUGUGGAAUUAAGAGUAGGCGCACACCGUUGAUUUUUAGUUGGCCGAUAGUUGUGCCCGAUUUUAAUUUGUAUGAAGAAUCGGCCAAAUCGAAUCGGGCGUAGUGUGCGCACUCCCAUACAUGCCCAUACUGAUCAACUGCCCGACUAAACUAUCGGCCGACGAAAAAUCAACGGUGUGCGCUUACACUAAAUAGGUACCUAUAUUUAACUAAAACACUAUUGCGAAUGUCUAUGUAUUUUGCUGUUGGUGUUGUACCUUUAUCAAUAAAAUAAAUAAAAACUAUUUUUGUUAA